UACGUAGGGUGCGAGCGUUGUCCGGAAUUAUUGGGCGUAAAGGGCUCGUAGGCGGUUUGUCGCGUCGGGAGUGAAAACCAGGUGCUUAACACCUGGCUUGCUUUCGAUACGGGCAGACUAGAGGUAUGCAGGGGAGAACGGAAUUCCUGGUGUAGCGGUGAAAUGCGCAGAUAUCAGGAGGAACACCGAUGGCGAAGGCAGGUCUCUGGGCCACUACUGACGCUGAGAAGCGAAAGCGUGGGGAGCAAACAGG
rnacentral:rRNA from 1 species